rnacentral:rRNA from 1 species
GACGAACCGUGCGAACGUUAUUCGGAAUCACUGGGCUUAAAGCGCGUGUAGGCGGGCCGCCACGUCAGUCGCUGAAAUCCCCCGGCUCAACCGGGGAAGUGGCACUGAUACGAGCGGCCUGGAGGGAGGUAGGGGGGCUGGAACUUCCGGUGGAGCGGUGAAAUGCGUUGAGAUCGGAAGGAACGCCCGUGGCGAAAGCGAGCCCCUGGACCUUUUCUGACGCUGAGACGCGAAAGCUAGGGGAGCGAACGGG